UUUUUUCCUCAUGGCUGUUUUUUUCUUUCCCCUUUUGUCUUUUCCAGGAAGGUAUGUGAGGUGAUGCAUCCCAAGAAAGGGCAUAUUUAUGUACAUUUUUCUCCCACCUCCAUUAGACAUCCAUAAUUUUGUUUUUGAGUGGAUGUCUUCCCUAGAUUCUUAUGUGGUCUCUCCUCACCAGACACAUUUACCUCCCAAAGAUGCAAGCAUGAUAUCUAACCUCUAUCAACAUACAUCUCUGAUGAGCAGUGCAAACUUCAUUAAUGUGUUUUAGUCUUCUUCAGUCAUCACUGUCCUUCCACUUCUAGCAACUGCAGAAGGUAAACACCAUCAAUCUUCUCUAUUCUUGGGUCUUUUUCUUUCAUCUAUUGCAACAGCAGUUGGGCUGCCACUAUGUUAGCAUGCACCCCUCUAGAAAGGCCACUCUAUAUCUUGUCUUGUGCUUCCAAAGAAACAUUUGUUAUAAGUAGCACAAUAUUAGGCAUUUGCAAAAGAUACCACUCAGGAUAUCUUCCAGCAAAUGUUUACUCAAAGAAAUAACUUUUAAAGGUUAUUCACAUUAAACCAGUGACCUUUUGCAUUACCAGCAUAAACAACAACAAAAAAAAAGCAUUGUGUUUCUUUCUCAAACUAUAACAAUUUGUAAGUCAGAAUAUUGGUGAUGACUGUGCUCUGUUGCCACAGAUAGGACUGCAACCUCAAAUAUUUGGCAUUAUUAUUAAAACUUGACAAAAAAAAAAGAAAAGAAAAGAGAUUAUAGGCAGGCAUUUAUGUACCUCCACAAAUGGAUGAGGUAGUGCGUUCUUCUCAUGUGAGCACAACACUGGAACACUGGAACAGGUGUCCCCUGAGCUGCAAAACUAGCUUGCUGUCUGACCUCAGGCAAGCAUAUGUAAUCACUUGAUUACAAGCACUCUUAAACCUAGAUUACUGUUCUGUAGAUCCAUCACCAAAACAUACAUGGUUCUGUCUGGGAAGUUCCCCAUUCUUUACAUUGGAAGGUCUGUUAAAGGUAGGCUUGAGGGUUGUUGAUGAUGAUGCCAGAUGAAUCAUCAGCCAUUGUUUCUAAGAAUAGUUUGCAAACAGCACAGAGGACAGUCCAGCUCAGGCUCUUCCUGUUCCCUGGAGGUAAAGGCAGGCAAGAACCUACGCUG
rnacentral:lncRNA from 1 species